rnacentral:tRNA from 1 species
UCCCUGGUGGCUUAGCUGGUAAAGAAUCUGCCUGCAAUGCGGGAGACCUGGGUUCGAUCCCUAGGUUAGGAA